rnacentral:rRNA from 1 species
GACGAACGCUGGCGGCGUGCUUAACACAUGCAAGUCGAACGGAAAGGCCCUGCUUGCAGGGUACUCGAGUGGCGAACGGGUGAGUAACACGUGGGUGAUCUGCCCUGCACUUCGGGAUAAGCUUGGGAAACUGGGUCUAAUACCGGAUAGGAGCCAUCUUUAGUGUGGUGGUUGGAAAGUUUUUUCGGUGUAGGAUGAGCUCGCGGCCUAUCAGCUUGUUGGUGGGGUAAUGGCCUACCAAGGCGGCGACGGGUAGCCGGCCUGAGAGGGUGUACGGCCACAUUGGGACUGAGAUACGGCCCAGACUCCGACGGGAGGCAGCAGUGGGGAAUAUUGCACAAUGGGCGCAAGCCUGAUGCAGCGACGCCGCGUGGGGGAUGAAGGCCUUCGGGUUGUAAACUCCUGUCGCUAGGGACGAAGCUUUGUUGUGACGGUACCUAGAUAAGAAGCACCGGCUAACUACGUG